GGAAAACUCUGUCCGUUCGGCGUCUAUUUGACGUGCUCGGGCCAGACCAAAUUGGUAUCGGUCCCGGGGCGUGACAACUCGACUCGGUCUUGAGUCAAUUCAUAAUGUAUACAAGAUCCACUUUCCAAUUCAUGAUUCUUUUUGGCUAACCCGUAGGUUUCGCCACAUUAACUUGCUUCACAUUAAGUUCAUCAUCGCAGGAACUCACCUGCUAGGACCGUCCUUGGGUUUACUUCAACCCGUGAUGCAAAACUCUGGAGCGCAUCGCUCGAGGGGGAGCGACCGCCCUCGAGCACGGAACUCAUAGCAAGUAUGAUCAAUCCUUAACUCUAAGGAUAUGUAGUUGGAUCAUGGUUUUACACUAACUCUAGUAUUCUUUACAUCACAUUAGUUGCUAACUCUAGCAAUCAUUAUUCUUUAUACCACAAUUAUCAAUUACUUUAGUAAUUAUCAUUCUUGAUACCACACUUGUUCUUUUAUUGCCACACACUAACUCUAGUGUUCUUUAUGUCACAUUGGUUGCC
rnacentral:lncRNA from 1 species